UCUUAUCGUAUAACGUAGAUUGUCGCGUAUGGGACAACUUUCAUAUUUAACAAGUAAAGUCUUAGUGACUUUGUGCUGUUGAUGGACUCUGGGCCCUUAACUCGCGGCAAAGCAGAGCAGGGCAGCCAUUGCGAUAAAUUUCCCUUGCAUGAGCGAAGCUUGGCAACUCAACAUUCUAAAUUUCAAACCUCAAAAGCGGCCAGGAAAAUUAUAUUGACGUAACAAUUACCCUGUCGGGUAUACUCCAUAUUCUGAGAUGGAUACAAAGUGAUGCAUUGUGCGUCGGUGAGGAGUAACUGUCAUUUUGGCAGUUAUUAAACGAGUAUUGCAAGGUGCAAAUUGAUAACGGCAAUGCAGUUUUUUAGUACAUAAUUCGAAAUUUAAGGGAUGCGCGGGAUUUUUUAUUAUUAAUCGCGAACAUGAUUCGAUCUACUUCGCUUAAGUUUGGAUUUGAAUAGAUAGAUAGAUAGAUUUAGAUGUUCCCGCCUUUAGUGUGGGUGCAGUUCUGAAAUUACCCACAUUGUACUAAAAAAUAAAUGUCAUACUCAAGGUAAUAUUAAAGCAGUAAGAAAGAAGAUCUGACCGGCCCAAGAUAUUUAACUGACAUUCGAUUAUAGAUUUAUGUUGAAUUUAGAUAAAUAUAUGUUAAUAUAAGAUGGAAAAUAAUAAAUAAACUUAACUAUGAA